AUGGAUCCGGGCGGGAUGCUGCUGGAGGACUUCGGGCAGCGGGUGGACAUGACGCGGCACAUCCGUGAGGUGUUGGCCAACUACCCGAAGGACAUCAUUGCGCUGCGGGAGCUCAUCCAAAAUGCUUUCGACGCCGAGGCAUCGCGGGUCCGCCUCUACCUUGACCUCCGCGCCCACAACGCCUACUCGCUGCUCACCCCCUCUCUCGCGUAG
rnacentral:rRNA from 1 species